GUGACCUGCCCCGCGCCCCACGCCCUGCCGGGGUCCCUACUCAGGACCCUGACUCUCCUGGCUCUCGAAAGUGGGUUGUGAGUCGCUCAAGAGACUGUGUCUUGCCCCAGCAACCAGCACAGAACAAACAGGGUUCUCCAGAUCCUGGAGAACCAAGAUGGUGGAACUGAAGAACAAGAGCUAACCUGAGAAGAGGGGGAGCAAACCAGAAGGACAGCGAUGGAGUCACAGGACUGAUGUUAAAAACCCAGACAUGAUAAAGGUGGAAACUGAGCAAACAAUCCCAGCUCACGGAAAGGGGUCCAGUGCGUAGCAGCUUUCCCGUGUGAUGGCCCGGUGUUACCAGAUGAAGUGAUGUGAGCAUCUAGGACUCCUGGAUUAGCAAGCAUCUGGUUGGCUCAGUUGCAGCAGACAACAGUUGGGUAUGGUCCGUGUUGAAAGCUCGCAGCACCAGAGUGAGCCUCUGAGAGUCAGUUUGCAGAUCCUGGAGAUUAACUCUAAGGACCACUCCCUCUGCAUGUCCCGUCUAUAUGAUGGGCAUCU